rnacentral:rRNA from 1 species
UUCUUCGGAUUGAAGUUUUUGUGACUGAGUGGCGGACGGGUGAGUAACGCGUGGGUAACCUGCCUCAUACAGGGGGAUAACAGUUAGAAAUGACUGCUAAUACCGCAUAAGCGCACAGUGCUGCAUGGCACAGUGUGAAAAACUCCGGUGGUAUGAGAUGGACCCGCGUCUGAUUAGCUGGUUGGUGGGGUAACGGCCUACCAAGGCGACGAUCAGUAGCCGGCCUGAGAGGGUGAACGGCCACAUUGGGACUGAGACACGGCCCAAACUCCUACGGGAGGCAGCAGUGGGGAAUAUUGCACAAUGGGGGAAACCCUGAUGCAGCGACGCCGCGUGAGCGAAGAAGUAUUUCGGUAUGUAAAGCUCUAUCAGCAGGGAAGAAAAUGACGGUACCUGACUAAGAAGCACCGGCUAAAUACGUGCCAGCAGCCGCGGUAAUACGUAUGGUGCAAGCGUUAUCCGGAUUUACUGGGUGUAAAGGGAGCGUAGACGGUUGUGUAAGUCUGAUGUGAAAGCCCGGGGCUCAACCCCGGGACUGCAUUGGAAACUAUGUAACUAGAGUGUCGGAGAGGUAAGCGGAAUUCCUAGUGUAGCGGUGAAAUGCGUAGAUAUUAGGAGGAACACCAGUGGCGAAGG